rnacentral:misc_RNA from 1 species
UCAAAGCAUCAUAUUUGCCGAGGCAUCUCAAACAUUUUUCCAAUUUCUUGCGAAAGAAAGACAAAUGGUAGUGGAGCUCUUCGUCUCGUUUUCCCUUCUGUUUCUUUCACUUUUCUUUAUCUUCUCCAUAACCAAAUCCUCCAAAUCCAAGACACCCAUCUCAACCCAUCUUUCAAAAUCAUAUCCUUUGAUAGGUAACUAUCUCGAUAUAAGGGCAAACUGGAACCAUCGAGUCCAAUGGACAUCUGAUCUUCUCCAGAACUCGCCCUCUGCAACCUACGUCCUGCAUCGACCUCUGGGUGCCCGUGCCAUUUUAACUGCAAACCCAGCCAACGUCCAACACAUUCUCAAGACUCACUUUCACCUCUACCAGAAAGGUGAACUCUUUCGAAGCACUCUCUUUGAUUUUCUUGGCAAUGGAAUCUUUAACGCCGAUGGUAACACCUGGAAGUUUCAAAGGCAAGUUGCCAGCCACGAAUUCAAUACUAAAUCUUUGCGUAAAUUUGUUGAGACCGUCGUGGAUACUGAACUCUACGAACGCCUAAUCCCAAUUCUUUCUUCUGCCGCCGCUAAUGGAACGGUUCUUGAUUUUCAAGAUAUUCUCCAAAGAUUUGCCUUCGAUAACAUAUGCAAGAUCGCUUUUGGGUAUGAUCCUGCAUACCUCUUACCUUCUCUCCCGCGAGCUAAGUUUGCACAAGCUUUCGAAGACAGCGUCAGGAUAAGCAGCGAUAGGUUCAAUUCUUUGUUCUGGAAAAUCAAAAGGGCUUUCGGUAUUGGAUCGGAAAAACGUCUCCGAGAAGCCAUGUCUGAAGUACGCCAUUUUGCUGUGAACCUAGUCAAGGAAAAGAAGGAAGAACUCAAGGAGAACUCGUCCAUUGAAUCCGUCGAUCUCUUAUCCCGAUUCUUGAGCUCCGGCCAUUCGGAUGAGACCUUCAUCGUUGACAUCGUGAUUAGCUUCAUACUAGCUGGCCGCGACACGACGUCUGCGGCCUUAACAUGGUUUUUCUGGUUGCUCUCUAAACACCCAGAAGUAGAAAUAAACAUUAUCAAAGAGAUACAUGAGAAAUCAGAGAUGCCCGUUUUCGAAGAAGUGAAGGACAUGGUUUACACCCAUGCGUCUUUGUGUGAGAGCAUGAGGCUGUACCCUCCUGUCCCAACAGACACCAAACUGGCAGUAGGCGAUGACAUUUUGCCAGACGGUACUCCGGUGACCAAGGGAAACAGAGUUACGUACCAUCCAUACGCAAUGGGUAGGCUAGAGACGCUGUGGGGUGUGGAUUGGGCCGAUUACAAGCCAGAGAGGUGGCUGGAGAGAGAUACAACGAGCGAGAAAUGGAAUUUCGUGGGGAGAGAUACGUAUACCUACCCAGUAUUUCAGGCCGGACCCAGGAUUUGUUUGGGGAAGGAAAUGGCCUUCUUGCAAAUGAAGAGGGUGGUUGCUGGUGUCUUAAGUCGGUUUAAGGUGGUACCAGCGGCGGGGGAUGGCGUUGAGCCGGAAUUUGUUUCGUAUCUGACUGCGAAAAUGAUGGGUGGCUUCCCCGUGAAGAUUGAGGAAAGGGUAAAGUGAUGUGCAAAAAGGAUUGAUGAGUUUGGCUUUUUUAUUAGUUUAAUAUUUAGAAGGUUUGUUGAGUUAAUUACUCUAAGCUUCAAGAUUAUGUAGGAAGUUUAAUGUUAAUUGGUGUAUUAUUUUAAAAAUUAGAUUAUUAAGGUUGUAUACUUCUCAAAUAUUGCUCAAGUAGAAAUUGAUUUCUCAGCA